CACGUAGGGCGCGAGCGUUGUCCGGAAUUAUUGGGCGUAAAGAGCUCGUAGGCGGCCUGUUGCGUCCGCUGUGAAAGCCCGGGGCUUAACCCCGGGUCGCAGUGGAUACGGGCAGGCUAGAGGUAGGUAGGGGAGAAUGGAAUUCCCGGUGUAGCGGUGAAAUGCGCAGAUAUCGGGAGGAACACCGGUGGCGAAGGCGGUUCUCUGGGCCUUACCUGACGCUGAGGAGCGAAAGCGUGGGGGAGCGAACAGG
rnacentral:rRNA from 1 species